AUUAUACUGUAUAUGGUAUGAUUGAUAUGAUAUGAUAAAACUAUACAAAAGAAAGAGAAAGGAGACAUCAGAAGCCUAGACAAGAAUGAAUGAUAAAAACCUGUGACAGACUCAGAGGGUCCAACACAGCUGGCUGUGAUUGGCCAUUAAAGACACCUCGUAAGACCCUGAGGACUUCACCUCAAACUUUAAGAUAGUUAAUUGGACAAGAGCUAAAAAGUCUUGCCUGGGCAAUUGACUAGAAAAAGAAGUGAACAAAGAAGCUAAUCACUUUUGUGAGGUGUUUUACCAAGAGCAAGAACUCCUUACACCUGGCCCAGUUUUUCUCUGUUUGUUAUUUUGCCUUUUAUUAAACCUUUUUGUUUCCAGCACUGCAACAGAAGCCAUCCUGCUGAUUUUAUGCCUCCAAAAGUAACUAAGCUAUCUUGAGUGAAUAAUAGACCUCUAAGAGCUUAUAAGACUUAACUGGACAAGCAACUCAGACUCUGGGGGGCUGGCUGGGUAUGGGCUGUAGUGGGAGCCCCUGGGAUUGAUGGGGGAGAAGCUUUGGCCAGGAGGCAGAGGGGAGGCAGAGGGGCCCCUCCAGCUGGGGCCACACACACACACAGAGGUUAAAGCCAGCCCUUUCCCAGCAUGUGCAGUGCCAGAGGGAGAAUCAGAAGCUCUCGGAGCAGCUGGUGCUGCUGAAGGAGGAGAACAAAGCCCUGUAUGAGGAAGGUGUCAGACUCCUGAACCAGAAGGAUCUCUAUGUCAGGAAAUACAACGAGAUGCAGCUCAGGCACAAGGACAAGAUCCGCAGGGCCAAGGAGACUUUCAUCCACGAGGUGAAACAGAGGGACAGCAGGAUCAAACAGCUGGAAAAUGAGCUCAGCGAGUCGAAACUCCAGGUGGAAAAGGGGAAGGUGCUGAUUGCCCAGAUCACUGCUGAGAAUGAAAAAUUAUUCCAGGAGAGGCGACGGCUCCUGCAAAAAAUAUCAGACCAGGAGGAGUCCCCUUGGAGCCUCAGGUCUGGGAUUCCCUCCCUGCAGAGCAGAGGGAAGAGCCUGGAGGAGGAGAACGCCCGGCUGCAGGACAAGCUCCAGCUCUCCAGCCAUGGGGGCUCCUCCCAGCGCCUGGCCAGGGGCAGCCCUGCUCCCAGCACAGAGGACCUGAAGCUUGCUGCUGGCUCUGAACGCCACCCCCAGAGCAAGGUGCUGCCCCCUGCUCGUGCCAGGUACCGUGGGGGGAGGGAGGGAGGGAGGAGCCACUGCUGAAUUUGGGCUGCUCCACCCUGGGCUGUCACCUCCCAGAGGCCUUUUUUGUUGGUUUUGGGUCAAAUUUUGGGGAAAACAGUAUUAAAAUGGCCUUAAAAUGGCAUUGAAGCCAGUCAGCCUGAUGGGGUGGAGAAGUCCAAUUUUAGGGAAAAUAGUAUUAAAAUGGCAUUAAAAUGGUAUAGAAGCCAGUCAGCUGGUGGGAUGGAGAAGCCUAGUUUUCAGAAUAUUUUGGGGAACACUGUGGGAUUUAGGAAUCUUGGUGCUCAGGGGCUUUGGAGGAGCCUUUAUACAAGAGGUGAUGAGACCUGGAGUACUAGUGUGGCCAGAGCUGUGUCCC
ensembl:lncRNA